GGAAGAAGCAUUGCAGAGCAAAGAAAAAUGGAAAUGGAGGGGAAGAGCAGCUCAGACUCAGUGACGAUAAUCCACAAUGCAACAAUCGUUACUAUGGACGCCGAGAGCCGAGUCUUCAGAAAUGGCGGGAUCGUUAUCGACCAAGAUAAAAUCAAAGCCAUUGGUCAAUCCCCUGACAUUCUUGCUCAAUUCUCCGCUAUCGCCCACCAUUGUGUCGACCUCCAUGGCCAAUUCUUGCUCCCUGGAUUUAUCAACACGCAUGUUCAUACCUCGCAACAGCUCGCUAGAGGGAUAGCAGACGAUGUGGAUCUAAUGACUUGGUUGCACCAUCGAAUUUGGCCUUAUGAAUCUAACAUGACUGAGCAAGAUUCUUACAUUUCUACGUUACUAUGUGGAAUAGAACUCAUCCACUCUGGGGUUACAUGCUUUGCCGAGGCAGGAGGGCAGCAUGUCUCUGGAAUGGCUCGAGCAGUUGAGGAACUGGGGUUGCGAGCUUGCUUAACUCAGUCUACUAUGGACUCUGGUGAGGGUUUACCUCCGUCGUGGGCCAGUCGAACUUCAGAUGACUGUAUUCAGUCUCAGAAGGAGCUUUACCAGAAGCACCACAACACUGCAGAUGGGCGCAUUAGGAUAUGGCUUGGAAUUAGGCAAAUUAUGAAUUCAACUGAUCGCCUAUUACUUGAAACAAGAGACACAUCUAGGGAACUGAAAACUGGAAUCCAUAUGCAUGUCUCGGAGAUACCUUACGAGAAUCAACUUGUGAUGGAUACACGAAAAGUUGAACAUGGAACUGUUUCAUACUUGGAGAAGAUAGACUUCCUGCAGAAGAACUUGCUGGCUGCUCACACAGUUUGGGUCAACAAUACUGAGAUUGGUUUUCUUUCAAGAGCUGGGGUCAAAGUAUCUCACUGCCCAGCUUCUGCAAUGCGAAUGCUUGGAUUUGCACCUAUUAAGGAGAUGCUUGAUUCUGGAAUUUGUGUUUCCUUGGGAACGGAUGGCGCACCAUCAAAUAAUAGAAUGAGCAUGGUUGAUGAGAUGUAUCUGACUUCGUUGAUUAAUAAAGGAAGGGAAGUUUUUGCAAAUGGAACGACUGAUCCUACAGCUCUCCCAUCUGAAACAGUUCUCAAAAUGGCAACCAUAAAUGGUGCAAAAACAGUACUCUGGGAUGAUGAAAUUGGAUCAAUUGAGACUGGGAAAAAGGCUGACUUGGUUGUUGUGAAUACUAACUUAUGGUCUAUGGUCCCUGUUCAUGACUGCAUUUCAAGCCUUGUUUACUGCAUGCGGACUGAGAAUAUUGUCUCAGUAAUGUGCAACGGCAAGUGGAUUAUGAAGGAGAAGAAGAUUUUGAAUGUGGAUGAGGGAGAAGUAAUUUCAGUGGCAAAGGAGGCUUCGGGUAAACUCUUGAAGAGAGCUGGUAUCAGCAUCCCAAACAGAAUGAAUGUCCUCUAAUCCUUCCUUUGAAGGUCCACUGUAAUCACUCUUAUUCCCUCCAAAAAAAAACAUGUAAUACCUAAUUCCAU
rnacentral:misc_RNA from 1 species